GCUCCUUUGGCCUAGUGGUUAUGGCGUGGCUCUUAUGUGGUAACUCCGUUUUCUCGGACUCCGCAUGCCGACUAGCUGAAGUCGAGGGUUCGACUCCCUCAAGGAGCA
rnacentral:tRNA from 2 species